UAACACAUGCAAGUCGAACGAAGCAUUAAGCGGAGACUUCGGUCAAAGUCGUUUUAUGACUUAGUGGCGGACGGGUGAGUAACACGUGAGUAACCUGCCUCUCAGUGGGGAAUAACACACCGAAAGGUGUGCUAAUACCGCAUAAUGCAGUUGGGUCGCAUGGCUCUGACUGCCAAAGAUUUAUCGCUCUUAGAUGGACUCGCGUCUGAUUAGCUAGUUGGCGGGGUAACGGCCCACCAAGGCGACGAUCAGUAGCCGGACUGAGAGGUUGGCCGGCCACAUUGGGACUGAGACACGGCCCAAACUCCUACGGGAGGCAGCAGUGGGGAAUAUUGCACAAUGGGGGAAACCCUGAUGCAGCAACGCCGCGUGAAGGAUGAAGGUUUUCGGAUCGUAAACUUCUAUCAACAGGGAAGAAACAAAUGACGGUACCUUACGAGGAAGCCACGGCUAACUACGUG
rnacentral:rRNA from 1 species